GGAAAGGAAAAGGGGGCGGGGAAAAAAGUGGAGGAGGGGGAAAAAGGAUUUUUGAGUCACUGCAGAUCAAUAUAGAAUACACGCUUCACAGUCAGUUACAUAGUAAAAAUGUACCUAUUUUUUUCAUCAUACUCUUCGCAGAAUCACCAAGAGAGCAAAAACAGGGAGAGUAUUUACAGUCAGUUGGCACAAUCUAGAGCUUAACUCCCAUCACUAAAAAGAAACCGCGUUAGCUGUGGCCCCGGAGGAAGAUAAGAUUAAGUUAAUCAAAUAGCAGAAGAUUACAACUCAAGGAAUUAGUAAAAUGAUUUUUAAAAAAACUCACUUAAGUCUUUUGUAUUAUUAGACUUGAGGUGGAGGGAAUGGGGGUGUGUGGUCUCCUGGCUUCUCUGCAUCUCGGUUUUCUCCGCUGGAUCUCGGAGGUGAGGCUUUGAAAAGAGUCGCUCAUGGAAAUACAGUUAUUAGCAGAAAAGCUGCCGGUGAAAUCCGUGGGGAGAGAGACACCUGGUCCUUUUUCCUCCAAGCUAGUGGCAUCGCCUUCCUUGAAAAGCACACACUGCUCUUCCAGAAAUAUCUCUUUCCUCCCAUCAUGCCUGUGCUCAAAGGCAUUCGGUGCCACCAGGGACCAGAGGAGGACCAACCCCUCCAGCCACCAUUCGGUGCCUGCGCUGGCCACAAGCAGCCGUCUCAGCUGCAGCUUCCUCCUCUGCUCCGCACAGAGCUUCCCGUCUGUGGAUUUGCCCGAGUGGUUCUAAACGCACCUCUUAUUUUCCUUCCUCCCCAUCUUAGCUUCUGCCAUUCCUCUACCCUCCAACUAUACUUCCUGCCUGUACCGACUGCUUGGCGUAUCGGAGGUAUUGCUUUGCAAUAGUUGUGUGUGUGUUUUAUCUGCCACUAUGUAUUCGUUACCUAUUGCCACAAGAAUGCUGAGUAACAACCACAAAAUCUCCCUGGCAUGCGGCAUUAUUGCUGCGGAGGUCAGAGUCACGCGGCUAUGAGCCAAGGAAUGCAGGUGGCCCCUACAAGCUGGAAAAAGCCAAGAAGGGACGUUCAUCUAUAACUUCCACAAAGAACACAGCUCUGCUCAUACCUUUAUUUUAGCCUCAUAAGACCUAUUCGAGACUUCUGACAUCCAGAGCAGUAAGAUAAUAAAUUUGUGUUGUUUCAAGC
rnacentral:lncRNA from 1 species